UAAUACCGGAUGGUUGUUUGAACCGCAUGGUUCAAACAUAAAAGGUGGCUUCGGCUACCACUUACAGAUGGACCCGCGGCGCAUUAGCUAGUUGGUGAGGUAACGGCUCACCAAGGCAACGAUGCGUAGCCGACCUGAGAGGGUGAUCGGCCACACUGGGACUGAGACACGGCCCAGACUCCUACGGGAGGCAGCAGUAGGGAAUCUUCCGCAAUGGACGAAAGUCUGACGGAGCAACGCCGCGUGAGUGAUGAAGGUUUUCGGAUCGUAAAGCUCUGUUGUUAGGGAAGAACAAGUACCGUUCGAAUAGGGCGGUACCUUGACGGUACCUAACCAGAAAGCCACGGCUAACUACGUGCCAGCAGCCGCGGUAAUACGUAGGUGGCAAGCGUUGUCCGGAAUUAUUGGGCGUAAAGGGCUCGCAGGCGGUUUCUUAAGUCUGAUGUGAAAGCCCCCGGCUCAACCGGGGAGGGUCAUUGGAAACUGGGGAACUUGAGUGCAGAAGAGGAGAGUGGAAUUCCACGUGUAGCGGUGAAAUGCGUAGAGAUGUGGAGGAACACCAGUGGCGAAGGCGACUCUCUGGUCUGUAACUGACGCUGAGGAGC
rnacentral:rRNA from 1 species